rnacentral:misc_RNA from 1 species
GAUGAAGAACGUAGUGAAAUGCGAUAAGUAAUGUGAAUUGCAGAAUUCAGUGAAUCAUCGAAUCUUUGAACGCACAUUGCGCCCGCCAGUAUUCUGGCGGGCAUGCCUGUUCGAGCGUCAUUUCAACCAUCAAGCCCCCGGGCCUGUGUUGGGGACCUGCGGCUGCCCGCAGGCCCCGAAAACCAGUGGCGGGCUCGCUGUCACCCCGAGCGUAGUAGCAACACCUCGCCCAGGGAGUGCCGCGGGCACCGGCCGUAAAACCUCCUCUCGCCCCCCCCGCGGGAGGGAACACCCCAAAGGUUGACCUCGGAUCAGGUAGGAAGACCCGCUGAACUUAAGCAUAUCAAUAAGCGGAGGA